GUUGCUCUGUCUUCAAGGAAAGGCACAGACUUCCUCCUCUGAAUUCUUGUUCUGUGUGAGAAUGUCAGCUUCCCUUCACGUCUUGCAAGAUGCUGUCAUGUAGGCUGCUUGAGGUUGACAUGUACCAAGACAAACAUUUCUUACUGCAGUGUUAAAUGGCAGUUGAUGCCUGAAGUGCCAGUAGAUGGUACUUAAAAGAUGAAACAUCUGUCUGGGCGUCUAGGACAUGUGAGUUUAAGGGCAGCUGAAGACUGAUUGACAAAUGGCAUUUUUUAGUUAUAAUCACAUAAAUAUAUCAGUGUACGUUAUAAGCAUUAUAUAUUUUCACUCUACCUGGCCUGCCAAGGGUACUGCAGUGAACUCGAGUCAGAAGAACGCUGAGCAGAUCCACCUGGCUUUGUGCAUCCAGCAUGGAACUCCUGAACUCAGCUCCCUCCUUGCACUUCCCACACCCUACACUCCAGUGUUAGGCCAUGUGCCACAGCUCCAAGGGUGUGGAGAAAGGCAAAAAAAAUUCACAAAGGCCUCACCUGAGCUGGCAGAAAUUGACAAGAGGAAAUCUUGGGCUUGAAGAUGUACCUUAGAGUCUGUUGUGUGUCAUAACCCACCCUAGGCCUUUAUUGGGACUCUCCAGAAGACAGGAAGGCAUUUCAGGCCUGUUCCAAGGUUCAUCAUAGAGCUGCUAACGUCUGGAAAAAUCAUGUACUCAGACUGCCCCUCUGCUGCCAUCUGUGACAUGACAACAAAAUAUAAUGGAAUAUUGGCAGGAAGGGUCAGCCUCUUCUGCCAUACCAACAUCCACCUUCGAUGUUGUAAGCUGACAUAAUAAAAUAGGAAGCAUUACUUUCAGAGCAGCCUCUGUAUGUAGUAUAGUUAGUGUGUAUAAGCAACAAAACUUAUUUAUUUUUAAUUACAAUAUACAAGGGAGCAGCAAAGACAUGGUGGGAGAGCUGACCCAUCUGGUCAAAACUCUGAGGUUCGUAAAACAGAGAGACAAUUACUGCUUUCCUUUUUUAAAAAUGAAAAUGUGCUUAUUUUGUUUUGUGGUUUUUAAUUCUUUCUUAUUUUGUUUGGUUAUUUUAAGUUGUUGAUAGUCCAGUCUUAAAAGAACAGUCUAAACAAAGCAUCUGGACUAGAUCUUCCUGCUGCAGUUCAGCACUUCUUCCUGUCCGAAUCAAAGCCUGGUUCUCCAUCUUUUUAUUCCUCCUGUCCCCCUGGAGAGUGACUGUGGAUGGAAACAGAAAGGAUGGGUUCACAUGGGAGCCUUGCCUGCCAAGAGAAGGAUUACCAGGAAAUGGAGGCUCCAUGUGAGCCUGCAGGAUGGCUCUGAGUUGGGGCUCCCCCUCCCGGCUAAGGAUAAACUUACGGGAUCCUCACGCCCGUGCGAUGUUUGAGGCCCCCGGCAGUUGAGGUCCCUCCACCGGACUCGUCCCGCUGCCCCGGCACAGCAGCUCAGAGGAUGGCAGUCCCUGUCCUGCCCUCUUCGUCAGGACUUGGUGCAGAAGACAUGAGAGGACUUGGGAAAGGACAAGGGAGGGGAAAGGGAAGGGAGGGCUCGUAGGAGCCUUGGCUGUGAAAAGAAGAACACUCAGGAAAUGGAGGCUCCACAUGAGCCCACAGGAUGGCCGUGAGCUGGGGCUCUCCUGGGUAAGGAUAAACUUACAGGACGGGAGGAUCAGCACCGGCGUCGAGGCGGCCAUUUCGCGGGAGGUGGACGGAUCCUGGCGCCCCUGCGGUGACAUCUGGGGCACAUCCUCUUCCUCACUGGCCUGGCAGCAGUAGAGAGA
ensembl:lncRNA